rnacentral:rRNA from 1 species
CCCUUAGAUGUUCUGGGCCGCACGCGCGCUACACUGACGAAGUCAGCGAGCAUGUCCUACGCCGACAGGUGCGGGGAAUCUUGUCAAACUUCGUCGUGAUGGGGAUUGAUUUUUGAAAUUCUUGAUCAUAAACGAGGAAUUCCUAGUAAGCGCAAGUCAGCAGCUUGCGUUGAUUACGUCCCUGCCCUUUGUACACACCGCCCGUCGCUACUACCGAUUGAAUGGUUUAGUGAGAUCUUCGGAUUGGCGCCACUGCAGCUCAGCAAUGGGCUUGGUGGAUGCCGAAAAGUUGAUCAAACUUGAUCAUUUAGAGGAAAUAAAAGUCGUAACA